CGACCAGCCUGUAAACAUCUGAAACUUUCUGUGUGCUUUUUUCCUCCUGUUUAACAGAUUUGCUUUUACCCUAUGAACCUUUCCGGGCCCUGAGAUCUCCUAAUUAUUCCAAAUGUCAGGACACAAAGUCACCGGAUGGCAUCUUUCCACCAUUAUGGCCCCAGUCUAUGGAGCAGCUUUCCGGAGGACCUCAGAGCUGCGGAGAACGUUCAUGUGUUUAAGAGCAGGUGCACGGACGAGUCCAAGGUUGGGAUGUCAUGCUUCCUUUCCUGCUCCUUGGAUGAUGAACCUGCAGGAGCAAAGUUCUCUAUAGACGUCCUACAGACUGGCGACCGCAGGAAGACAUUUUGCAAACAUUCCACAAGGAAGGAAGAAGCAUCACGCUUCAACACAUCAAACCUGUGAGGAUGUUUGGCUGUACUAAAGAAGCUGCCCUAAAGCCAGCUACAAAGAAAGGCCAUGUUGGCACGUCUGCUGCAGGACGACUUUGGCGCACACAAGAAGCCCGUCUGAUUGAAGCCCAGCAGAAGUUCAGGCCACAACGUAAGUGACACAUUUGUUUGGCUCAGGUGUGACGCGUAGGUGGGAACAGCCGCAGACGAGACGCGUCUCACCAAAAGGUCGUCAUUGUCGGAAUCAUGUCAACUUGACUGACACGUGCAGACAGAUUAGGAUGAUUGCCACCAUCAAACGUACAAAUGUGUUGUUUUGACCACAUGCAGAAUCAUUUGACGUCGUUAUCGAUGUUUGAAUAAAUGUCAUGACGGA